rnacentral:misc_RNA from 1 species
CUAUAAUUGAAUCAAUUACAUACUAGUUCAAAACUAAGGAAUGUUAUGGUAAAACUUCGUUUGAAACGAUGUGGUAGAAAGCAACGUGCGACUUGAAGGACACGAUCGGCUGUGGAUUCUUACAUCCACCCUAUUAAUAUUAUAUAGUAAUAUUAUAUAGCAUAUAGUAAUAGUAUAUAGGAAUGAGGGUGCUCUUAGCUCGACAUCGUUUGUUCUGUUAUACACUAGAGCCUUCAUUUUUUGUUGGGUUGUAAUGUAAAUAGUACAUG